CUCUGGGAGAUCGCCGGAUCCAGGGAUCCAACCCAAGUAGCUUAUGUCUCCUGAUAGGCAGGUUCAACUAUGGAUAUUCAGGGGAUCCACUCUGAGAAAUCUUGGAUUAAAUAGUUUGCCCAGGUUCACCAUGAUAAAAGCAUACACGGAACAGAACCAUGUCUAAUUCAUUGAAAUAUGUUCUUGAGUUGCUACUGUCUGCAAGCAAUGUUUUGAAGGCUCUGAAGAGGUUCACAAAAUAGAUGGCAUCAUCCCUGCCUUUUCAACUAGAACAUGCCUCCUCUUUCUAAAUGAGUCUGAUAACGAUUUCCUGAGAUGAAUUAUGCUUUUUGCACUUCGGUUUCAGGGAGAAGUGUUUUACAUGGUUUGCUGCUGAAAAGCUCACAUGGUUUUAAGCAAGAGAAAAUCUGUCCUGAAACUCCAGGAGCUGGGCUAUACUCCCAGCGAGAUCUUCAUGUGCUUCUUUAAAAAUAAACAAUUUCACAGAACACUGACAUCAGACAAGCCGCUCUGUGAUCAUGAUGGAUCCAGAUACAAACAAGACCGUAACCACAGCUGAGCACAGACUAAACCGUGAACAUGGACUAAGCCACAAAAAUAAUCAACUAUUCCCCCAUCCAGGCGAUGAGCGUGCCUGCGGCUUCUUUACUGAAACAUCGAAACGCUUAUGGAGAGAUGACUGUUCAGUUUCUGCUUGACUCGUGCACGUCUUGCCAUUUGCUUGCCAGGUAUUUUGAAACGUUGUGGUUUCCUCUGAGCCACCUCCCUGCAG